CUUCAUGCUUCAAGCUCUUAAAGGACGUUUCAAAACGCUCUCUUAAAGAAACAACCAACCCUUUUCAAGUCAAAACAAGGGCCUCCCUUUGGCUGCAUGGCUGCUGUUGGAAUCACACACUGCAGCACUCUGGGCCAAGCUACUGAAGAGCACACUUCCUGACAGGAAAUAAAACAAAAGAAAAAGAUUUCCACUUAGGCUCUCAGAUCUCAUGUUAUGGGAUCACGCAGACAAGAAAGUGAGAAGGAAAGCUCAACAAUGCACAAUUGUAAUAAUGGGUUAUGGUUGGAAUCUGGACACUUGAUUCUUCCUCAUAACGAUCAUUUCUGAUCUGCCAUUACAACUCUUUAGGAAGACACAUUCGGAAGGAUUAUAUUAAACCAUGACAUCUAAAUACUCCUAUUCAAGUUCUUUUCCUCUAAACGUAUUUUGUCUUCUCAGCGUGCCCUAGUGUGGCAUUGACCUAAGAUUAAGAGUUGAGUUUCUGAAGACAGACCAUCAGUUGACCCGCAGCUGUUGAACUGAUUGUUUAAAGAAGACAAAUGAGUGCUGAUUAACAUCAUGAUGAUGUCUUAAUGUCUGUCUUUUGUCUGCCUAUUCAGAAUGGCCCCUUUCAUUUGCUGAUGACCAAGACUAUUGGCAAAGUAUUGUGAGUGAGCCUUAACUAAAGGCUUGGAGCCCUAACAGGAACAGAGCUUGUUGGAUAAUCAUGUUAAUUGAAUUUGACAGUCCUGAUUAAUGUUUGGCAAAAGAGUUUUUGGUAAUGGGGAUCAAAGAAAGAUUGACGUUACUGAGCAAUGGAGCCGAUAAACUGGCAAAGGCUCUCUGAGUUUUCUUAUUGAUGGUUCAUCAAAGAGAGAUUAAGUUCUACAGUGAUCUUUACAUGAUUUACCGACUCUCCAGAAUAACUGAUUCUGACUUGUAGUCAAUCUCACGUUUUACCGUUACUCAUGGCAACACACUGGUGCUACUAGCACAAAAAUAAUCUUAGAGAAAUGUUGCCAAAAAGUAUCCCAUAUCAUUUCAUUCUAGAAAGGCAUUUACAUAAUAUAGUUGUAUGUAGUCUUCUCUCAUCUCCUCGCAUCUGAUUGGUCCAAUUUCAGUUUGCGAUCUCUAAUUCAGAACAUAACCUGCCCCGGAGCAGGUAUGGCAAUGAACACAGCUAGCCAAGCCACUUUCAUGGUACAGGAUUGGUGCAAACUAAACUGAAACUUACCUGGCUAGCCAGCUAAACCGGCUUCAUGGUACAGGCCCCUGAUUCAACUCUUAAAAU
ensembl:lncRNA